rnacentral:rRNA from 1 species
CAUAUCAGAAGGCACACCCGGAGAACUGAAACAUCUUAGUACCCGGAGGAAGAGAAAGAAAAUUCGAUUCCCUUAGUAGCGGCGAGCGAAACGGGAAGAGCCCAAACCAACAAGCUUGCUUGUUGGGGUUGUAGGACACUCUAUACGGAGUUACAAAGGACGACAUUAGACGAAUCAUCUGGAAAGAUGAAUCAAAGAAGGUAAUAAUCCUGUAGUCGAAAAUGUUGUCUCUCUUGAGUGGAUCCUGAGUACGACGGAGCACGUGAAAUUCCGUCGGAAUCUGGGAGGACCAUCUCCUAAGGCUAAAUACUCUCUAGUGACCGAUAGUGAACCAGUACCGUGAGGGAAAGGUGAAAAGCACCCCGGAAGGGGAGUGAAAUAGAACCUGAAACCGUGUGCUUACAAGUAGUCAGAGCCCGUUAAUGGGUGAUGGCGUGCCUUUUGUAGAAUGAACCGGCGAGUUACGAUUUGAUGCAAGGUUAAGCAGUAAAUGU